GGCGGACGGGUGAGUAACGCGUAAGGAACUUGCCUCUUGGACUGGGACAACUGUUGGAAACGACAGCUAAUACCGGAUAUUAUGAGAUUCUCGCAUGAGAAACUUAUGAAAGCUAUAUGCGCCAAGAGAGAGCCUUGCGUUCCAUUAGCUAGUUGGUGGGGUAACGGCCCACCAAGGCGACGAUGGAUAGCCGGCCUGAGAGGGUGAACGGCCACAAGGGGACUGAGACACGGCCCUUACUCCUACGGGAGGCAGCAGUGGGGAAUAUUGGACAAUGGGCCACAAGCCUGAUCCAGCAAUUCUGUGUGCACGAUGAAGGUCUUCGGAUUGUAAAGUGCUUUCAGUUGGGAAGAAGAAAGUGACGGUACCAACAGAAGAAGCGACGGCUAAAUACGUGCCAGCAGCCGCGGUAAUACGUAUGUCGCAAGCGUUAUCCGGAUUUAUUGGGCGUAAAGCGCGUCUAGGCGGAAAAAUAAGUCUGAUGUUAAAAUGCGGGGCUCAACUCCGUAUUGCGUUGGAAACUGUUUUUCUAGAGUACUGGAGAGGUGGGCGGAACUACAAGUGUAGAGGUGAAAUUCGUAGAUAUUUGUA
rnacentral:rRNA from 1 species